UUCUGAACAUGAUUUGAAGAACCUGAUGACCCUUUUCCACUUUUCCAGUAAGCACCAGCCAUAAGGAAGAGCACAAGGACACAGUGCUUAAACAAAAGGAUGGAGGUACAAAAUAUGCACCCAAAUUCACAGAGCCAAAUUCAGCAGCAAAUUGGAAAUCUUAAAAAUGAGAAGGCAGAUUUUUUAAAAAAGGACAUCAUCUCUCUCAGAUGAUGGAAAAAUGAAAGAGAGGAUAUAAUCAAAGAAGAGAACUAAAGGAUGUCACAAGUCUAUCCAGAGAAUGAAUAAAAGACAAAGAUGUGGAGCUCUGGAAUCUUCAAAACACCAACCUAGGAUCUCAAAAAUACUUAUAAAGCAAUGCAACAACUCAGGAUGCUGAAAGUCUAUGGAAGAAUAUGUUCAAUGAUCUAAAGGGAAUUGAUUCUGAAUCCAGCAUUACCCAACUGAAAAUACUGUAA